AGACUCACUCGGCUCUGAACAGUGGGCCGUCUCACCUGGUUCCGAACAGUGGGCCGUCUCUCUCCGGGGCACUGUCGCCGGAAGCUCUGGACGAGGCACUGUUGCCGGAAGUUCUGGACGAGGCACUGUUGCCGGAAGUUCUGGACGAGGCACUGUUGCCGGAAGUUCUGGACGAGGCACUGUUGCCGGAAGGCCUGGACGAGGCACUGUUGCCGGAAGGCCUGGUGCGUGGGGCUGGCUUAGGACGUGCCAGACUAAGGACACGCACCACAUGGCUAGUACGAGGAACAUGGACAGGACGUGCUGGACUGGGCUGACGCACUGAAGCCUGGUGCGUGGUGCUGGUAAUGGAGGUACCAUACUGGAGACACGCACCUUAGGGCUAGUGCGUGGAGCGGGAACAGGACGUACUGGACUGGGCUGACGCACUGGAAGCCUGAUGCGUGGUGCUGGUACUGGAUAUGCCAGCCUGGAAACACACACCUUAGGGCUAGUGCGUGGAGCGGGAACAGGACGUACUGGACUGGACUGGGCUGACGCACUGGAAGCCUAGUGCGUGGUGCUGGUACUGGAUAUGCCAGCUUUGAAACACACACCUUAGGGCUAGUGCGUGGAGCGGGAACAGGAUAUAUUGGACCGUGAAGGCGCACUGGCGGUCUCGAGCACAGUACUGGCUCCACCCUUCCUGGCUGGAUGCCCGCUUUCCCCAGACAAAUGCGGGGCGCAGGUACUGCGCACACCGGCCUGUGAAUUCUAGGCCUCAACGCCGUGCACCUCACUCCAACGCACGGGACCUGACUAAUACUAGGCUGCCCCCAAUAAGCACGGGGAUUUGGCUUGCGGCUCAAUCCUGGCCCUGCCAAACUACCUGUGUGCCCCCCCAAAAAAAAAAUAUUGGGGCUGCCUCUCCGGUUUAAUAGCCAGUCGUGUUCCCCUGUAGCGUUCCCGGUCUUCGCUCCAUUUUUUCCAUGGGCCCUCUCCGGCCAUAAUCUUUUCCCAUGUCCAUUUCUCCCGUUGGUCACACUCAAAUUCCCUUUUCUCCUCAACGUCCACCUUUUGCUCCUUCCUUCGCUGCUUGGUCCGGAUUUGGUGGGAGGUUCUGUAACGGCGGUCGUCAGGAAUGGACCAAGGCGCAGCUACAAACAAAACAAAACGAUGGACGCCGAAGACAGACUUGACGGCACAAGACAGCAAUUCAAGUGACAACCUCCCGCAAAUACAAAUACAAACACACCCUAAUAUAUAGGACUCUCAAUCAAAGGCAACUAGACAACACCUGCCUUCAAUUGAGAGUCCACACCCCAAUUAACUAAACAUAGAAACAGACUAACUAGAAGGAACAUAGUCUAACAGAGCAGUGACCAAAAAACCCCGGAAUACAUAAAUCAACUACCCUCUACAUAAUACACACACCCCGAACCACAUAAACCAAAUACCCUCUGCCACGUCCUGACCAGCCUACACUAACAAAAUAUCCCUCAUACUGGUCAGAACGUGACAUUGACUUACCCCCUAAAAUUGUAAAGGACUUAGAUAAGAUUUUUUAUAAUUGUAUUUGGAGGAACAAGCCUCACUAUCUACGAUAAGAUAUUUUCACUAAUACCCAAGAACAAGGAGUUAUUGAGGUUUUAGAUUUCAAUACUCUAAAUAAUACUUUUAAAAGAAAUUGGAUUCUGAAGUAUGUUAAGGACCAGAACUGUCACGGAAUUCUAGGACCAGUGGAGAUGCGGAAUCAGGCGCAGGAGACAGAGGCCCGGAGCAACAGUGUUUUAAUGCCACGGUAAACAAAACACAAUAGCCGAAAGGCACAGGGCGCUUAAAUAGGUCCGCCCGGGAAACACAUUCCCAAAAGAAAACACGAAGAAAAGCGCACGGGACGCAUCCCGGCAAUAACUCGUACACAGGCCAGCGAAACAGGCCAAACACACAACUGUCCUGAGUGGACAAUAAACAAUACCGCACGAGAACCCAAACUGAAAAUACACACUAAAUAACCCCCCACUAAUGACAGACAGGUGCGGGAUAGACAGACAAAACCAAAAGACACAGAAACAUAGAUCGGUGAGAGCUAAUAGGCCGGGGACGACGACCGCCGAGCGCCGCCCGACGUAGGAGGGGCGCCACCUUCGUUGGAUACUGUGACAAGAACAGUAUUUGGAAUGUCUUCCCUAAGUAUUUAUUUGACUCUGUUGUUGGUUUAGAUUCCAAUAACCCCGAAAGAAUAUGCAAUUGUUUUUGAUGCGAUUCCAAGGGGGGGGGGGUUGUCUCUUAAAUUCCUCUGUGGUUGAUGUAAAUAACAUAGAUUUACAUAAAUAUAUUCAUUGGCAAUAUUAACAUCAAAGAUAAAUGAUGUAAGAAACAGAUCAGGAAUAUUGUUUGUGAUACUACAAUUCCCUCAGCAAGAUUCUUUUGGGCAGAUAUCUAUGGUAAUAUACAAUGGCGGAAAGCAUGGAAAAUUGCUAACAAAUAUUGUAUCAGUAACAAAGUAAAGGAAGUUUCAUUUAAAAUGUUACAUAGAAUUUAUCCUGUGAAAUAUGUUUGGGAAAGAGUCAAGCUGUCACGACCUCGUAUGAAUAAUUAGACCAAGGCACAGUGUGAGUAGAGUUCCACAUUUUAAUAAUAGUGAAACUUCCAAAAACAACAAAGCUAUGACGAUCAUGAAACACGUAGCGCACAUAGGCACUCACACAAAACUAUAUCCCACAUCGCAUGUGGGAAAAAGGACACACUAAGUAUGAUCCCCAAUUAGAGGUAACGAUUAUCAGCUGCCUCCAAUUGGGAACCAUACACACACACCAACAUAAAUAUAUAAUACCUAGAAAUCCCCCUAGUCACGCCCUGACCUAAAACACCAUAGAGAACCCCGAGGGCUCUCUAUGGUCAGGGCGUGACAAGCUGAAUAUAACUGAUUUCUGUGGAAUGGAGAAGGAGACCAUUUUGCAUUUGUUUUUUACCUGUAUUUAUAGCAGAAUGUUUUGGAUUGGCAUACAGCAUUUUGUUACAAAAAAAUAGGACCGGUUGUACUAUUUACUGGUUUUGAUAUAAUGCUUUAUUUCAGAAAUUCUGACAUAAAUAUGUAGUAUAUUUAAUUCAACUGCUAAUAAUACUAGGUAAAUUUCAUAUUCACAAAUGGUCUAAUUCAAAACCUAACUUUUUAACUUUAUAAAUGAGUUUAAACAAUAUGGCAGCACUCUGACUAGAAUGCUUCCCUGUAGCUCAGUUGGUAGAGCAUGGUGUUUGCAACACCAGGGUUGUGGGUUCGAUUCCCACGGGGGGCCAGCACAGGAAAAAAAAAAAUAAAUGUAUGAAAUUGUAUGAAAUGUAUGCAUUCACUACUGUAAGUCGCUCUGGAUAAGAGCGUCUGCUAAAUGACUAAAAUGUAAAAUGUAAAUGUAAAAACAAAAAGGCAAUUAAAACUUGUAUUAUUAAUGAAUAUGAUUGGUUUGUUUAGGAUUCCGGGCAAUGUAAAUAGUUUGUUAGUAUGCUUGUUUGCAUGUGACUAUUCCUCUUUUGUUUCAUGAUAUUUGUUAAUAAAAAAUAAAAAUAAAAAGCCCUGUAAAAGUUGAAGUCAUAUUGAACAACUACCAGAGAGAACCUUCUCUACAUAGGAAUUGCAUACCAUAUUUUUUCCAUACAUCAAAAUAAUACUUUAUUGUCAAUCAGCAAUUACUUACUUAGAUAAGGCCUCAACAAGGCCCCAGUUAAUGGUUGAAAAUAACUUAUGUCAGUGCCAAUGAGUUACACUGAGUGUAUAAAACAUUAAGAACACCUGCUCUUUCCAAGACAUAUGCUGACCAGAUGAAUCCAGGUUAACGCUAUAAUCCCUUAUGGAUGUCACUAGUUAAAUCCACUUAAAUAAGUAUAGAUAAAGAGGAGGAGAAAGCUUUAAAAAAAUAUUGUAAGGCUUGAGAUAAUUGAGACAUGGAUUGUGAAUGUGUGCCAUUCAGAGGGUGAAUGGGCAAGACAAAAUAUUUACAUGCCGUUCAACGGGGCAUGGUAGUAGGUGCCAGGGGUACCAGUUUGUGUCAAGAACUGCAACGCUGCUGUUUUUUUUACGCUUCAAAGUCUCCCUCCCGUGUGUAUCAAGAAUGGUCCACCACUCAAAAGACAAUUUGACACAACUGUGGGACUGUCCUCAUAUACACAUUAUGACAUAAUAAAGAGCUUCAUCUUUCAUGAAAUAAAGACAUAGAAGCAUACCCAAUUAUACAGGUUCUACACAUUCCAUUUCUCCAUGGCAAUAGAAUGUAAACAUUCUAUUUUGCACCAAACAUCGCCUACAACUCAAUUCUAAGUGCAGCAUAUUGGACGACAACACAGUCAUUGAUCAUUUGCAACUUUAAGUCAUUUCUGUUAUCUCUAGAGCAUCCCGUAUAUCUAUAGCGCUGCAUUUCUUCCCCAUCUUUCCAUGGAUAGGGUUUGGUGCAUUCCGGAGUUCACUUAUGGUCCCACAAAGGUAAUCUUAGGAGAAAUAAAUUUUAGCGUAGUGUAAAUGCCUGUGCAUAAUGUGCAUAAAAAAGCAUAAUUAUUUUCAUUAUCUUCAAAGGAAUUCUGUAGAAGCAGCCUUUAUUUUCAGACUCUGCAGGCCUGCUGGGAGGAAACAUAUUACAAUAAACAGAAGAAGGUCAUGGUCCAUUAUCUGCUGCUCCAGAGUCAAGGCCAGGUCCCGCCCCAUGUCACCACGGAGCACAUGAGCAACUGGCUGGUGUCUCAGGGCAAAAAAUCCCUUAGGGAGAGGGUGUGGAAGGAAACCCUGGAGGAGGGAAACGACCUCGCUCGGCUGGCCUGGGAAGUAAACACUUGCCUAAAAAUGAUGGACAUAGAGCACGAGGCUUUCUGCAAGCUCCGCCGCUCCAUGCAUUCCACCUCGCCAGCUGACAUCGAUCCUAAAGUCCACAGCAUCGUGGAGAGAGCUGUGAGGAGCAUUCUGGGCGUGCAGUCCAAUGAGCCCCGUAGCAACCUGCUCAGCCCAUCUCAGGUGGUGGUGGAGGUGGUGCCCAGGCUCCUCCUGGCCCUGUGGCUUCAACCAGAGGAAGGCCAUUCAGAGCACCCAAUCCUAAUAAGCGGGAUGGCCGUGGGCAUGGUGGCGGCCGUAGUGGAGAAGCUCUCCUGCAUGUUAAAGGACCCUUCCCCACACAUCCCUUUCUCUCGGGCUGCUGCUUUUGACUCUGUGCGGUCGAUCCUCGGGAGAAUCAGUCAGUCCUUCUCCACCGAUGACCUCCAGAGCCCUUUUUAUAUGAGCUCUGUCUGUGCCUUUGUGGCGAACGAGGUUCAGAGCCGCUUCCAGCCCCCUGCAUCCACCCUACCAGUCCCCCCUGUCCUCCCGGGGGCUUUCUCCACUACACGACCAGCUGACAUCCAAGCAGACCCAGCGUCUUCCCACCUGAAUGUUGUGGACAUCACCACUAACACAGAGGCAGAUCCGGCUUCUUUCCACCUGGAGAUUGUGAAAGUCACCCCUAACACAGAGGCAGACCCGGCUUGUUCCCACCUGGAGGUUGUGGACAUCACCCCAAAAACAGACGCAGACCCGGCUUGUUCCCACCUGGAGGUUGUGGACAUCACCCCAAAAACAGAGGCAGACCCGGGUUGUUCCCACCUGGAAGUUCAAGACAUCACCCCAAAAACAGAGGCAGACCCGGCAUCUUCCCACCUGGAGGUUGUGAACAUCACCCCUAACACAGAGGAAGACCCGGCUUCUCUCCACCUGAAUGUUGUGGACAUAACCCUUAAUACAGAGGCAGAUCCGGCUUCUCUCCACCUGAAUGUUGUGGACAUAACCCUUAAUACAGAGGCAGAUCCGGCUUCUUCCCACCUGAAUGUUGUGGACAUAACCCUUAAUACAGAGGCAGAUCCGGGUUCUUCCCACCUGGAGGUUCAAGACAUCACCCCAAAAACAGAGGCAGGCCCGGCUUCUUCCCACCUGGAGGUUGUGGACAUCACCCCUAACACAGAGGCAGAUCCGGCUUCUCUCCACCUGAAUGUUGUGGACAUAACCCUUAAUACAGAAGCAGAUCCGGCUUCUCUCCACCUGAAUGUUGUGGACAUAACCCUUAAUACAGAGGCAGAUCCGGCUUCUUCCCACCUCAAUGUUGUGGACAUAACCCCUAACACAGAGGCAGAGCCGGCUUCUUUCCACCUGAAUGUUGUGGACAUAACCCCUAACACAGAGGCAGAGCCGGCUUCUUUCCACCUGAAUAAUGUGGACAUAACCCCUAACACAGAGGCAGAGCCGGCUUCUUUCCACCUAAAUAUUGUGGACAUCACCCCUAAUACAGAGGCAGAGCCCAUCUCUUCCCUCUUGGAGGUUGUGGACGUCACACCUGAAGAAAGGACUCUCACGAUGGCCGUCUUCACCACUCUGCCAGCUGACAUCCAAGCAGAGGAUGUUGCUGUGGUCAUCCCGGAUGUCACCCCACACGUAACCAAGGACGUGACACUGGAUGUUCCAUGUAGAGCUAGGAAAGGGGCAGUCCGGCGAUUAUUUUGCAGGCUUUGGAGGGCAGUGUGCUGCUGCGCCUGCUACAAGGAAGAGGAGGAACAAUAUUAAUUAUUCAUCAGACAUUCAGAAGUGGGAUUGAACCAUAGACCAUUAAAUUAUUCGCAUUAUAAUUGGACUCAAUUCUGCUUUUCUUCUGUUUACUACUUAAUUUCAGAACUUUUCUAUAAACUUUCACUAUGCAAGUGUGGAGUAGGUUUUAUAAAUAAGUGGGAAACAUCCCAAUUUUAAUGCUUUUAAUAAUUUACUUUGUACAUUUAAAAAAAAAAUUGACAACAAAAAAACGCAGGGCGCUCAACCAACGUUGAGUUUCGGUGCAACCAAAAAUUUGAAUCAUCAUUGAAAAGGAAAAAGCACUACUCUUGCUCACUAUAAAAAAAUGCAUUGUUUUAUUCAGGCAAGGUUAAAAGAUUAACGUUUCGGCCUAGUCUAUGACGAUAUCGAAGUUGUGUUUGCCCAGUAAAAGGGUUACCCAGACUCACCCUGGUUCUUGAGGUUGAAGACAGUGAAAAAUGAUCAUUAAGUAAAUGGGACUUUUUAAUUCUUGAAUAAAAAUCUUUAAUGAACAUGAAUUUAAAUACAAUUGACUUGAGGUUCAGAGCAGGCAGGCUGACUGGCUAGCCCUGAAGGCCCUCUGCCUCUACCUCUGUGUGGUUCAUCUCAACCAAGAGGUUGUGUGGGUUGUCUUUCUCUCUGGGGGUGUGAAUCACUAUGACCUCUCCAUCUGCCUGCCAUUUGGCUGAUCAGAAGCCUUCUGCUCUUUCUUGCUCACAUGAACAGGAGGAAUGGCCUCUGGGGUAACCUCCUCCUCUAUCUAACGCCUCUUCCACCUCCUCUUUCUGACUGUGUUCAACUGAGGUCACUCGUUCUCUCUCUCUGGGUGUUGGAUAGUUCCUCCUCCUCUGUGUCUUUGUGAACGGAACGGCGUCAGACUGAUAGAAACUUCACUGUGAAGGAGUGCCAGCCAGUCCUCAGAGAGAGCCCGGAGAGGACAGGGGUAAAUAUGAAAACAGCUGAGGGCUCAGAGACUCAAUCAUCUCAUGAUGAAGUGGACACUGAUUCAUUGGGGUCACCCAUGACCUUGCCCCGCCGUUCACACCGGCAGAGGAGGCCCAGAGACAUUCUAACCUAUAACACUUUAGGGCUGCCAAGCUCUUAUCAGGAUACCAACUAGAGAUGUUCUGAUGUGUAUAUAUUUUCUUGUUUACCUUUACUAAUCACAGUGUGAUAAUGUUUAGUGGGGGUUGCGUUUUUGCCCAUAAGGCAGACUGGACAUGUCUAGAUAGUUAUAUGGCUGUUAGGCCAGUUUCUCCGUUGUUCUCAUGACCAGUACUUACAUCUUCUGUUUGUUUUAAGGCCAGUGAAAUGUUUGGGACAACAUUUCGUUUUUGCAGGGGGGGUGUUGUAAGGGGCUUAAUACAGUUGUAUUCCAGCCACUAGGGGGUACUCUGGUGAAGCCCAUGGGAAAUAAAGAAAUAUAGUUUAAGUGAUUUGGGAAGAGUAAGAAUGAUAAACUAAAGAAAGACUGUAAACGGCUGUUACCUGAUUAAAAGUGAAGUAAACCGUACUUUUCGUGUUGAAAGUUAAUAUGAUAAGCUCAUUGGAAGGCUAACAUUAACAGAUACAUGUCCUGCCUUUCCAACUGAUGUAAAGUUCCAACACAAAUUUUCAUUUGAAAAAGCAAUAGACUUUCACAUUGUAGGCCUGUUGUUUAAACAAUGUAAUCAUAAUA
rnacentral:lncRNA from 1 species